GGAAAAACCUCCUAUCUGCACUUUACGCGGCGCCAAUACCUAGUCGGUAUUGUUAACACAUAAUAUAUUAUGUAUUGGUAUCCUUAACAAAUAGUAUUUUGCAAGGAAACAAGUUUUUUUUAGUAAUCUCAAAAAAGUGCAUUUUUUAGAUAGGAGGUUUGCUCUUCUGCCAUCAAUAUAUUCUUUUCAGUAAAAGCUUAUGUGUAGAAUAUAACAUUCAUUCUGUUGCUUUGCAUCUUUCGCAGUGCAGGAAUGUCUUCUUUUGGUAAACAGUAUUUUCAGACAACGUGGGUCAGCAAAGCCGUUAAUACAAAUUUGAGGACAUCAAGGGUAUGAUGGCUUACAAGGAGCUGUCUCUACAUCUAGGCAGGCUCCAUUCAUUUGACAGUAUGCACUCAAAUUUUGAGUGUUGUUUUUGAUUGGUUCUCUUGUUUGAAUUCGUCUUCCAUCUGCCUUCAAAUCAACUGUAUUACAACCUGAGUCUUCCAUGCCUGCGACCAGCUGACCACCUCAAGCGUCCCAAAAGUGAAGCCAAACAUCUCGAUCGCCACCUGGGGCCGCGGGCCGUCAUCCCACCGCCUGACUCCACUGCGCAGACACUGGCUCCAAAUGACGUCACACAAGCAAGAUGGCCGCUCCCAGGAAGAAGGAAGAUUUUGGCUAAAAAAAGACACAGUGUGAAAUGGAAGCUCUUGUUAGGUAAGUAAACAAAAUGCAUUCAAGUUGUGUUUAAAAAUGUAUUGAGACAUAUAAAUGAGACAUUUUCUAUUGUUUUUAGUUGCUGCGUGUUCCAGCGGCAUCGGAGGUGCUGCAGCUGAGCUGAGUGCAUCCAGCCCGCCAUCUCCUCUGCACCUCGUCAGUCUCAACCCUCCAGGAGCCGCAGCCUCACAGAUGCAGGUUGCCAUGGAAUUAAAAGAAAUAAGACUGGUUUUAUGUGACAUAUCUGUGAUCUUUGCAACUUGUAUAAUUUAACUAUUAAUAACUGCACACUAUAUACUGUGUAGUAUACUCCUAAUCAAUAUCUUGCCCACCCAUCCCAUUACCUUCUAUUUAAUAUUUAAAAUUUAAACCUGUUAGCUGCUCCUUUCACACAGAAUAUAUUUUACACUUUUCUUUUUUGUAAAUUCAUUCAUUUUUAUAUUAUUUUAGGAUUUAUUUUUGUGUAUUUUAUGUGUAUAUUUAAGACUGCUGCGCAUCACAAUGCCAAGGCAAAUUGUGCCUCUCUUUAUGUACUCGGCGAUUAACUUGAUUCUGAUUGUGACUGAAAGAUCUACUUAAUAAAUAGUGUUAUGUUUAUCCAUACGUUAAGUGACGCAUCAAAUCCACACGCUGGCCCAUGGUAGCAGCGUUUGGUUCAAAUGCCUGUGAAGGUUGAGGGGUUCUUCAACAGAUAUCUCCAUUUUUAUUCAUUAUCCUAAAUCAUAUUUUUUGUGUGUGCACUCCUGGGAGUAUCAAUCAAACAUGUGUUUAUUUAUUCAUUUUAAGAAUGGCUUUUAUCUGUUUUUGCCAAUGAACUCUUCAUAUAAUACA